rnacentral:rRNA from 1 species
GACGAACGUUGGCGGCGUGCCUAAUACAUGCAAGUCGAGCGGAUUGAUGGGAGCUUGCUCCCUGAUAUCAGCGGCGGACGGGUGAGUAACACGUGGGCAACCUGCCUAUAAGACUGGGAUAACUUCGGGAAACCGGAGCUAAUACCGGAUAAUCCCUUUCUUCUCAUGAGGAAAGGCUGAAAGAUGGUUUACGCUAUCACUUAUAGAUGGGCCCGCGGCGCAUUAGCUAGUUGGUGAGGUAACGGCUCACCAAGGCAACGAUGCGUAGCCGACCUGAGAGGGUGAUCGGACACACUGGGACUGAGACACGGCCCAGACUCCUACGGGAGGCAGCAGUAGGGAAUCUUCCGCAAUGGACGAAAGUCUGACGGAGCAACGCCGCGUGAGUGAUGAAGGUUUUCGGAUCGUAAAACUCUGUUGUUAGGGAAGAACAAGUACGAGAGUAACUGCGCGUACCUUGACGGUACCUAACCAGAAAGCCACGGCUAACUACGUGCCAGCCGCCGCUGUAA